AUCAUAUCACACCUAUAGCUAGACGUUUACUGAGCAGGGUAGCGUUAUAUCCGAGACGUAUUUUGAGGUGAAGAACUACGUGCUGCCUCGGUUUGACGUGAAUAUCAAACCUCCCGACUACGUCAAAGUCACAAACCCUACCAUUACUGUUGAAGUGGCUGCAAGUUGAUCUACUCAUUUUAUUGAUUUUUCAACGUUUUGCUGAUCUUAUUGUUAUCUACAGGUACACUUAUGGCAAGAGGGUUCAGGGUACGUUGGAUAUCGACUUGGAGAUAUACAAUGAGACUUCUAUUAACGCUACUGUGUUUAAAGAGGCGAAAUUCGUUCUUUCUUCAUCGGAUAAAGGAGUGAAGAAAUUGAGCUUUCCCAAUAGCGGUUAUUUAGAAUUUCCUCACGGGAAGCGGUUGUGCAUAUUUGUUGAGGUGGUAGAAAACACUAGUGGAAUCAAGUUUGCAAAGUCGGACAGAUCUGCAGUGUUUACAGACAACCCAAUCAAGGUUGAUUGUGAUCUGACUCCACCUUUCUAUAGACCCAAUCUUCCUCUGAAGUUGCAGGUAGGAAUGUAUGUAUGUGAGAUUGUGUAAUGUACUUAUGUAUGUAUGUUUGUUUACUUUGUAUCUGUGUCUUUUUGCUUGUUUUGUGUGUGUGUGUGUGUGUGUGUGUGUGUGUGUGUGUGUGUGUGUGUGUUUUGUAGAUGUGAUUGUAAAGGUUUUUUUGUUUGGUAGUGGUCUCUGAAUGAUAGAUUAACUGCAUUCUAUCCCUUGUUUGAUUUGCCAUUGCACAUGACUACUAACAGGGAUAGUACAAGACAUCUCCUUUAGACUUUAUAAGCUUUGUGAGAAAACGAGUCUUGUAUCAUUGUAACGGUAUAUCCUCCUGUCUGCCUGUUUGUUUGUCUAUUUGUUGCUUUUUGCAAAAUGGCAAACAGUAACUGUUAUUUAAAACAGUGAUCAAUAUAACCAAUUUAUCAUUGAUUUGAAAUGGCCAAUGCCAUCGGUCAUUGGCUGACAAAAUGGCAAUUGGCCGGUAUCAGCAGACCACAGACCAACACCAUGCAGCUUGAUUGCCUGAG